CCUACGGGGGGCUGCAGUGGGGAAUAUUGGACAAUGGGCGAAAGCCUGAUCCAGCCAUGCCGCGUGUGUGAAGAAGGCCUUCGGGUUGUAAAGCACUUUCAGUGGGGAAGAAAGCCUUGGGGCUAAUACCCUCGAGGAAGGACAUCACCCACAGAAGAAGCACCGGCUAACUCCGUGCCAGCAGCCGCGGUAAUACGGAGGGUGCGAGCGUUAAUCGGAAUUACUGGGCGUAAAGCGCGCGUAGGCGGUCUGAUAAGCCGGUUGUGAAAGCCCCGGGCUCAACCUGGGAACGGCAUCCGGAACUGUCAGGCUAGAGUGCAGUAGAGGAAGGUAGAAUUCCCGGUGUAGCAGUGAAAUGCGUAGAGAUCGGGAGGAAUACCAGUGGCGAAGGCGGCCUUCUGGACUGACACUGACGCUGAGGUGCGAAAGCGUGGGUAGCAAACAGGAUUAGAUACCCCAGUAGUC
rnacentral:rRNA from 1 species